UACGUAGGGGGCAAGCGUUGUCCGGAUUCAUUGGGCGUAAAGAGCGUGUAGGCGGCCAGGUAGGUCGGUUGUGAAAACUGGAGGCUCAACCUUCAGAGGUCGACCGAAACCAUCUGGCUAGAGUCCGGGAGAGGAGAGUGGAAUUCCUGGUGUAGCGGUGAAAUGCGCAGAUAUCAGGAAGAACACCCGUGGCGAAAGCGGCUCUCUGGAACGGUACUGACGCUGAGACGCGACAGCGUGGGGAGCAAACAGG
rnacentral:rRNA from 1 species